AUCUAUAUGACAUGAUCUAUACAUAUAUGUUCUGUGUGUUUGUUCUAUUAUUUAUAUAUAAUAUGUUGAUGCUUUGGCAACAUUGUGUUACACAGUCAUGCUAAUAAAGCUAUAUUGAAAUUGAAUUGAAUUGAGAGAGAG